GACAGAGGGGGCAAGCGUUGCUCGGAAUCACUGGGCGUAAAGGGCGCGUAGGCGGGAUGGUAAGUCGGUCGUGAAAUCCUUCGGCUCAACCGAAGAACGUCGGCCGAUACUGCCGUUCUUGAGGGAUGCAGAGGAGAUUGGAAUUCCCGGUGUAGCGGUGAAAUGCGCAGAUAUCAGGAAGAACACCCGUGGCUAAGGCG
rnacentral:rRNA from 1 species